AACACAUGCAAGGGGAGCGAUUCUCUUCGGAGAAGAGCGGCGGACGGGUGAGUAACGCGUGGGUAACCUGCCCUAUACACACGGAUAACAUACCGAAAGGUAUGCUAAUACGGGAUAACAUAAGAGAUUCGCAUGGAUUUCUUAUCAAAGCUCCGGCGGUAUAGGAUGACCCGCGUCUGAUUAGCUAGUUGGUGAGGUAACGGCUUACCAAGGCGACGAUCAGUAGCCGACCUGAGAGGGUGAUCGGCCACAUUGGAACUGAGACACGGUCCAAACUCCUACGGGAAGCAGCAGUGGGGAAUAUUGCACAAUGGGCGAAAGCCUGAUGCAGCAACGCCGCGUGAGCGAUGAAGGCCUUCGGGUCGUAAAGCUCUGUCCUCAAGGAAGAUAAUGACGGUACUUGAGGAGGAAGCCCCGGCUAACUACGUGCCAGCAGCCGCGGUAAUACGUAGGGGGCUAGCGUUAUCCGGAAUUACUGGGCGUAAAGGGUGCGUAGGUGGUUUCUUAAGUCAGAGGUGAAAGGCUACGGCUCAACCGUAGUAAGCCUUUGAAACUGAGAAACUUGAGUGCAGGAGAGGAGAGUAGAAUUCCUAGUGUAGCGGUGAAAUGCGUAGAUAUUAGGAGGAAUACCAGUUGCGAAGGCGGCUCUCUGGACUGUAACUGACACUGAGGCACGAAAGCGUGGGGAGCAAAAAGGAUUAGAUACCCUGGUAGUCCACGCCGUAAACGAUGAGUACUUAGCUGUCGGAGGUUACCCCCUUCGGUGGCGCAGCUAACGCAUUAAGUACUCCGCCUGGGAAGUACGCUCACAAGAGUGAAACUCAAAGGAAUUGACGGGGACCCGCACAAGUAGCGGAGCAUGUGGUUUAAUUCGAAGCAACGCGAAGAACCUUACCUAAGCUUGACAUCCUUCUGACCUCUCCCUAAUCGGAGAUUUCCCUUCGGGGACAGAAGUGACAGGUGGUGCAUGGUUGUCGUCAGCUCGUGUCGUGAGAUGUUGGGUUAAGUCCCGCAACGAGCGCAACCCUUGCCUUUAGUUGCCAGCAUUAAGUUGGGCACUCUAGAGGGACUGCCAGGGAUAACCUGGAGGAAGGUGGGGAUGACGUCAAAUCAUCAUGCCCCUUAUGCUUAGGGCUACACACGUGCUACAAUGGGUGGUACAGAGGGCAGCCAAGUCGUGAGGCGGAGCUAAUCCCUUAAAGCCAUUCUCAGUUCGGAUUGUAGGCUGAAACUCGCCUACAUGAAGCUGGAGUUACUAGUAAUCGCAGAUCAGAAUGCUGCGGUGAAUGCGUUCCCGGGUCUUGUACA
rnacentral:rRNA from 1 species